GCCCUCGUAGCUCAGUGGAUAGAGCACUUGGUUGCGGACCAAGGGGUCGGGAGUUCAAGUCUCUCCGAGGGCACCA
rnacentral:tRNA from 1 species